GUUGUGGCUCAGAGGUAGAGUGCUCGCCUAGCAUGUGUGAGGCCCUGGGUUCGAUCCUCAGCACAACA
rnacentral:tRNA from 1 species